rnacentral:misc_RNA from 1 species
GAUUGCUGAAAGCUCAAUUCGAUUCAAAAUAUAAAACUCUACUGGGAUUGUACUCUCCAAAUGCUAAGAGAGUAAAACAAUCUUUAUUCCACGACUAUGACUGCUCAAAGAAGUUGACGAUAAGACGAUUUAAAAACGAAACUAACCUCCUUACUAAUUUCGACUGGGCGUCCAAUAAGGCUCAAAACGGAAUAUACAUGCUGAUUGGUUUUUAUCGAACGCAAGAAAAUAGCCAAUCAGCAGGUUCGCUCAUUGUUCUUCUGUGCGCUCGAAGUAGCGAAGAUCCUGGGCGGGAAAAACAUUUGCUUCAGAUGCACUCCACUCUUCCAUUUCGUCUCUGCAUAAUACUGGACCAGUGCUGGGUACUAAAGAUGACAUAGCUUUUGCAAUAUCAUAAUUGUGCCGAUGUAAAGUAUCCAUUGCAUGGAACUACAAACAUAAACUGGUGUAAGGUAUGUAUUUUCUUCAUAGUUAGUUAUAUAGUUAUAUAACAGUAACAAUGAUAAUGAUAUUUACAAGAGUAAUGUCUCUAGAUGCAGCUGCUGCAGACAUGUGUAAUGAUGGUUGUUUAACUGAAGAUGAACAGUCUAAAGCUCUUGCAAAUGUGCCUACAGAUCUACUGACAACAAGGAAUUGAUCAAUUUGACGGUCUGUUAAUGAAUGCCGUGGCGUCCAAACCAACGUUUCUAAAUCUUGCAACCUACGAGGAUCUGACUCUCUUUCAGCAGGUGUCAGUGGAGCUGGUGCUAUUCCAUCAGCCUGAUAUCUACUACCUACUCUAAUUUCACCUGUAAUGUUUUACAUUGAUUAAAGUUUAAAUAUAUAACAGAAAGUUAGAAUAAAUAUGAUCAUAGUAUCUGAAAAUUUUGAAUAUUAAUGAAUACCUUUGUCAGCAAGCAAAGUACGUUGAGCAGGAUCAAAUACUAAGCAAUAGAAGAAAGAGUCCUCUUUGUUUAAAUAGCUUAGUAAAGAUUCUGUUUCAUUUAAUAACGUCACACAGCAUUUGCCUCUUAUAUGAGUUGCAGGCAUUGUUUCCACCUGACGCGAUAGAAACAGUUCUCUGUGCUUCAUUUGAUGACGUUGCUUAGAACUUAAUUCUGUAACUCCUCCAGCACCAACUACAUUUUCUUCCAUCCCUGUGAGUAAAAAGGAUUAAAAUUAUAUUUUACUAUCUCAAAUGU